rnacentral:lncRNA from 1 species
GCCCAUUAAACUCCUCAGAGUUGCCGCUUGUACCUCGUUGGGUUUCUCAUGUAGACCGGUCGCCAGCGCAUAGUCCUCGAAUUCAUCCCUGAAAUUGUCCCAAUUAGUAUUCCAGUCCCCUGUGAGAACCAUGGGAUUAGGUGGCGGAAUGUUCGCUGCCAUAGCGAUGGAAUAGGAGACUUCUUUGCCUUCAGUCAUCGAGGUAGGUAGUGAUGCUAGCUAACCAGCUAACAACUAGUUGAUCAGUGUUGUGAGUAGGAAUCGGCGUGUGUUCGCAUUUGGAACGUAACCGCGCCUAUACUGUACUUAGCUACAAAAAUAACAAACGUAUGGUUUUCGAGCCACUUCUGAUACCAUGUUUCAGUAUGAUAUAUUGGAUAAAGUAAUAAAGACAGACACCAAUGUCUAGUUCAAUAGCCUUGUUCAUGCAUUGUACAAAUCCCUACACGCGGAGUCCGGGGAACAGUCCGGCUAGUCGAUUACCUAUCAACUAGACUCCGUAACACUUUUCAUUCAUCUUCCCUGAAGACAGACAUUGUUCCAUUAAGGACAACGAAGUCAAUUCAGGGUGGAUGUCAAUGGUGACCCAGCUCAACGCCCUUGGCGGUCCAGAGUCAGAAGUUCCGUCAGAGCUUUGCAGAGGAACUUGGUGACAAGUACCACUACGCGAAUGCCAUCGACAGCUCUCUGCUCUGGACUGUUGGGUACACCCCCUACAUUCCUGCAGCUCUGAAAGGAAGAAGCUUCCCCUCUGUCGAGAGCUUCUUCCUGGAUGAGUGGGAGCCACUGACAUUCCUGCAGACUCCUCAGGUUCUGUCCACCAGUGUUUCCAUCGAGGAAGACAACCUGAUCCAGUCUGCUGCAGGCCUAGUGUCUCAGGUUCUGUCCACCAGUGUUGCUAUCGUGGAGAGUGACCUGAUCCAGUCUGCUGCAGGCCUAGUGUCUCAGGUUCUGUCCACCAGUGUUGCCAUCGUGGAGAAUGACCUGAUCCAGUCUGCUGCAGGCCUAGUGUCUCUGGUUCUGUCCACCAGUGUUACCAUCGUGGAGAAUGACCGGAUCCAGUCUGCUGCAGGCCUAGUGUCUCAGGUUCUGUCCACCAGUGUUUCCAUCGUGGAGAAUGACCUGAUCCAGUCUGCUGCAGGCCUAGUGUCUCAGGUUCUGUCCACCAGUGUUGCUAUCGUGGAGAGUGACCUGAUCCAGUCUGCUGCAGGCCUAGUGUCUCAGGUUCUGUCCACCAGUGUUUCCAUCGUCGAGAAUGACCAGAUCCAGUCUGCUGCAGUCCUAGUGUCUCAGGUUCUGUCCACCAGUGUUGCUAUCGUGGAGAGUGACCUGAUCCAGUCUGCUGCAGGCCUAGUGUCUCAGGUUCUGUCCACCAGUGUUGCCAUCGUGGAGAAUGACCGGAUCCAGUCUGCUGCAGGCCUAGUGUCUCAGGUUCUGUCCACCAGUGUUGCCAUCGUGGAGAGUGACCUGAUCCAGUCUGCUGCAGGCCUAGUGUCUCAGGAGCUGUCCAGCAGUGAUGCUAGAGUGAAGGAUCGUGAUGAUUCCACACUGAGAGACUCCAACCAACCUGAGGUCCAUGUGGCUGAUGUCUCAACCAAGAGAAGUAGACUAGUCAUCACUAUUUCUAUGUUUUCAACCGAGCGUUGCAAUGCUUCGGUCCAUGAAGUUGAUGCUAUUGCUACCAGCCUGGAGCACUCUGCUGAGAAAAUGUCUACCUCUACCGCUGAUGGCCACAUUGUUUCAUCCACUGCUGUUGCCAAUCAGAAGAAAACAAGGGGUGGAUUCGUCUCAGCUCUUCGGAGAUUGUUUACGAGAAAGAACAGGAAGCCUGCUAAAGUGGCUUCCAAGAAGGAGCACAUUCACUUGGUUGACCGCCUCAAUGCUGAAGUCACCCACUGAGGACACUCACUCACUGCUGAAAGCAUCCAGAAUGAUGCUUCUGUUUCUCCUCAGCGCCACCUACACCCCUGCCCCUCUCCCCCACACCAAACCCUACCAGGGUUGGGGUGAAAUCCAGAUCAAUUCAGUCAAUUCAGGAAGUAAACUGAAAUUCCAAUUCCAAUUGUUUCUCAUAGGAGGCAAUGAGGUAAAUUUGAAUUGCUAUUGGAAUUUCAGUUUAUUUACUGAAUUGACUGAAUUGAAAAUGAAUUGACCCCAACCCUGAUCCCUAAGCCCCCACCCCAUCCAUUUCUAUCUUCAGUAAAUUUAGUAGAAUUUUAUUUGAAUGUGUUUUGUAUCUUCAUUAAAACCACAAUACAUCUCUAAUGAGGGUCACUCAUGUUACACAUCUAGAUUUAUCCUCAAAUAUCGUAGAAUUCAACAAAUGCAGUGGUUUAGCAGUUCAACUUCAGUACUUGUCAAUGAGUCAUUGCACUGUGACCUUCAGAAACAUGUAACAUUGUGGAACAAUUGAAAACUUUUGCUGACAUUCUGUUACAAUGUAACUACACUGAACAAAAAUAUUAACGCAACAUGUAAAGUGUUGGUCCCAUGUUUCAUGAGCUGAAAUAAAAUCCCAGAAGUGAUCCAUAUGCACAAAAAGGUUA